GUGCCAGCCGCCGCGGUAAUACGUAGGUGGCAAGCGUUGUCCGGAUUUAUUGGGCGUAAAGCGAGCGCAGGCGGUUUCUUAAGUCUGAUGUGAAAGCCCCCGGCUCAACCGGGGAGGGUCAUUGGAAACUGGGAGACUUGAGUGCAGAAGAGGAGAGUGGAAUUCCAUGUGUAGCGGUGAAAUGCGUAGAUAUAUGGAGGAACACCAGUGGCGAAGGCGGCUCUCUGGUCUGUAACUGACGCUGAGGCUCGAAAGCGUGGGGAGCGAACAGGAUUAGAUACCCUGGUAGUCCACGCCGUAAACGAUGAGUGCUAAGUGUUGGAGGGUUUCCGCCCUUCAGUGCUGCAGCAAACGCAUUAAGCACUCCGCCUGGGGAGUACGACCGCAAGGUUGAAACUCAAAGGAAUUGACGGGGGCCCGCACAAGCGGUGGAGCAUGUGGUUUAAUUCGAAGCAACGCGAAGAACCUUACCAGGUCUUGACAUCCUUUGACCACUCUAGAGAUAGAGCUUCCCCUUCGGGGGCAAAGUGACAGGUGGUGCAUGGUUGUCGUCAGCUCGUGUCGUGAGAUGUUGGGUUAAGUCCCGCAACGAGCGCAACCCUUAUUGUUAGUUGCCAUCAUUUAGUUGGGCACUCUAGCGAGACUGCCGGUGACAAACCGGAGGAAGGUGGGGAUGACGUCAAAUCAUCAUGCCCCUUAUGACC
rnacentral:rRNA from 1 species